rnacentral:rRNA from 1 species
AUUGAACGCUGGCGGCAUGCCUUACACAUGCAAGUCGAACGGCAGCAUGAUCUAGCUUGCUAGAUUGAUGGCGAGUGGCGAACGGGUGAGUAAUUCAUCGGAACGUGCCCUGUAGUGGGGGAUAACUAGUCGAAAGAUUAGCUAAUACCGCAUACGACCUGAGGGUGAAAGUGGGGGACCGCAAGGCCUCAUGCUAUAGGAGCGGCCGAUGUCUGAUUAGCUAGUUGGUGAGGUAAAGGCUCACCAAGGCGACGAUCAGUAGCUGGUCUGAGAGGACGAUCAGCCACACUGGGACUGAGACACGGCCAAGACUCCUACGGGAGGCAGCAGUGGGGAAUUUUGGACAAUGGGCGAAAGCCUGAUCCAGCAAUGCCGCGUGUGUGAAGAAGGCCUUCGGGUUGUAAAGCACUUUUGUCCGGAAAGAAAUGGCUCUGGUUAAUACCUGGGGUCGAUGACGGUACCGGAAGAAUAAGGACCGGCUAACUACGUG